rnacentral:lncRNA from 1 species
CAUAGAACCAAACUGACCUAGAAAUGCAAUGGGUUCUAUUUGUUGUUGUUGUUUUUGAGACAGUCUCACUCUGUCGCCCAGGCUGGAGUGCAGCGGCACGAUCUUGGCUCACUGCAACCUCUACCUCCCAGGUUCAAGCGAUUCUCCUGCCUCAGCCUUCCAAGUAGCUGGGACUACAGGCAUGCACCACCACGCCCGGCUAAUUUUUUUGUAUUUUUAGUAGAGAAGGGUUUCACCAUGUUGGCCAGGCUGGUCUUGAACUCCUGACUUCAAGUGAUCUGCCCGCCUUGGCCUCCCAAAGUGCUGCGAUUACAGGCAUGAGCCACUGCGCCUGGCCCUGGGUUCUAUUUAAGUUCAACUUUUGCUAUGAAAGUAUUAGGAGAAUGACUAACUAGAUAAUGCUGCGAACUUUGGAGCUACUUUUAGUAAUUUAACUGAGAUGACUUAACCAAGAAUCAGAAUUCAGUAAAAGGCAGUUGCCAUGCACAAGAAAAUCCCAGCUACUCAGGAGGCUGUGGUGGGAGGACUGCUUGAGCCCAGGAGUUUGAGGCUGCAGUGAGCCAAGAUCGUGCCACUGCACUCCAGACCCUGUCUCAGACAAACAAAACCAAUAUGUGAGCUGGUCCAGAGGAUGAGAAAGAAGAGGCUGGAAAGCAAAGACAGAGCAGGCAGGAUGUUCUCCAGAUGAAGGAAACACAAGCAGAGAAGCUCAGAGCUCCCAGAGAGACACCAGCUCCAGAUACAGGAGCAUGGCUGUUUGCUACUACUGAUCAGUUGUAAUGGAUGCUUCGAGUAACCUGUUACUAAAAUCUGCUCCUCAUAAUUCAUAAAUUAUUUUUAUGUUUUAAUAUAGAGUGGACUGGAUCUUAUUCCUGUGAUGACAAAGCUUUACUCCCUCAUGUUCUUCAUCUAUUAUCCUAAGCAGGAGAAAAGACUGCAGAACCACACAAGGCUCACGCUGCCCAGGGAGAACGUCAUCUCAGUUCCCAUAUGAGUCCCGAUGAAAAUAUGACAGAGAAAUUCUGUCCUGGACCACGAGCAUCUUUUCAUCUUCGUAUCCUAGCAGCCAGCAGGCACUUGGUGAAGAGGCUGCUCAACGAAUAUACAGUGACGGUUUUACGGGACAAGAGUUACCUGAGGAACAACUAAAUCUGCCCGUGAGCCCCAAGCUUUCCAUUUAAUCUUAUUGUUGAAUGAGUCAUAGUAUAACCUGUACACAGACAUCACACCUUCUGCCCAAACUAAUUAACUAAAUAUAAACUAACAAAACCAACAUGCAUAAUUCUGAUACUACUACUUGAGCCUUACGGGACGGCGGUGCACUACAGUGAGACCUUUAACAUGUGAACCACAUGCUCACAUACUUGCUCCUGUCCCAGUUCCCCUCCUUGGCAGAUAAGUACUUAUCUUGGCAGAUAAGUACUUGCCAAGUCUUUGAACAAGUUCUUAAACUAGAACGUUGGGCAUAGAGCCUGGAUCUUUGCAGACCUAGGACAAAAACCAGGCUCCUGCCUCUCACAGGCAGAGCGGGGCUUUGAGCAAACUGCAUAAUCCAUGCCUCGGUCUCAUCUGAAAAGCAUGCACAGUACCUCCUAAUGCUGGGUCACAAACUUUUUCUGUAAAGGGCCAGACGGUAAAUAGUUUCAGCUUUGCAGGCCACGUGGUCUGUCACAACUGCCCGACAUUGCUGCUGCAGCAAGGAGGUAGCCACAGACAAUAUGUAACAGAUGGGCAUGAUCAUGUUCCAAUAAAACUUUAUUGAUGAUGAUGCAUGAAAAGCUAGUUUGCUCAUCCCUUACCUAAGCCCUCUGCUGCAACAGAAUUAAAUGAGAUCCUGAUAAUAAAACACUUCAUUCAAUGCCUAGCACAAAGUAAAUGCUCAGUAAAUUCCAGUCACUAUGACUGUUUUCCUAUUAUCUUCAGUAAUAUCCAAAGAUCCUGAGGACUCUAAUUUUAAAACACCUAAAAAAUCAAAAUCCAACUUAAAAGCAAUUUUGUUACAUUAUAUUAGACAACUUAAUGGUUUACUGAACCAAUCAGCAUCAAGCAAUUCUUGACAGAGUGUUGUCACCACACAGAAUCCUCAGUUUGAAACUAACACAAACUGAAAUGUGCAAAACUGAAUCUGUUUCUUUGGGGAGCACAAACCAGUAGAGCUUCUAUGUGAUAAAGGAAGAUGCUGCAGUUUGACCGAGUUUGCCAAGGAGAAGAUGUCCCUGGGACACUGAGCUACUUUUUUACACAUACAGGUAUGUGCCAGACACCUGUACGAAGUGACACCACCAGGACACAUUUCUAUGGGGAAAACCCCAGUCAUCUAUGAGGUUAACAAUCUACCUAUGGGGGAAAUAAGGUUGGUUUUAAAUUAAUACAGUUGUCCCUCAGUAUCCAGAGGGCACUGGCUCCAGGACCACCCGCCCCCACCACCCCAGCCAACAGAUACCAAAAUCCAUGGAUGCUCAGGUCCCUAAUAUAAAACAGUGUCGUAUCUGCAGUAUUCAUAGUAUCUGUAGUACUAUUUUUUUUUUUUUUUGAGAUGGAGUCUCGCUCUGUCGCCCAGGCUGGAGUGCAAUGGCACAAUCUCAGCUCACCGCAACCUCCACCUCCCAAGGUUCAAGUGAUUCUCUUGCCUCAGCCUCUGGAGUAGCUGGGAUUACAGGCAUGCGCUACCACACCCAGCUAAUUUUGUAUUUUUAGCAGAGACGAGGUUUCUCCAUUGUUGGUCAGGCUGUUUCCCAAAGUCCUGGGAUUACAGGCGUGAGCCACCGCAACUGGCCUUGUAGUACUAUUAAUUUGCAGUAUUGUAGCGUAACCUAUUCACAUCCUCCCAUAUACUUUACUUACUUAUUAUUUAUUUAUUUAUUUGAGACAGAGUCUCACUCUUUAGCCCAGGCUGGAGUGCAACAGUGCAAUCUAGACUUACUCACUGCAAUCUGCGCAUCCCCGGUUCAAGCGAUUCUCAUGCCUAAGCCUCCCAAACAGUUCGGAUUACAGGUGCAAACCAACACACCCAGCCAAUUUUUGUAUUUUUAGUAGAGACGGGGUUUCACCAUGUUGACCAGUCUGGUCUCCAACUCCUGGCCUCAAUCGAGCUGCCCGCUUCAGCCUCCCAAAGUACUGGGAUUACAGAUGUGAGCCACCACAUCCAGCACCUCCCAUAUACUUUAAAUCAUCUCUACACUGCUGGGCAUGGUGGCUCAUGCUUGUAAUCCCAGCGCUUUGUGAGGCCAAGACAGGAGGAUCACCUAAGGUCAGGAGUUCGAGACCAGCCUGACCAACAUGGCGAAAUGCCGUCUCUACUAAAAAUACAAAAAUUAGGCUGGCGUGGCGGUGGGUGCCUGCAUCCAAACUACUCGGGAGGCUGAGGUAGGAGAACUGCUUGGACCUGGGAGGCAGAGAUUGCAGUGAGCUGAGAUCACACCAUUGCACUCCAGCCUGGGCAACAGAGCAAGACUCCAUCUCAAAAAAAAAAAAAAUCAUCUCUUCGUUAUUUAUAAUACCUAAUAUGAAGUAAAUGCUAUGUAAAUAGUUGUUAUACUGUAUUAUCUAGGGAAUUACGACAAGGAAAAGAAAACUGCAGAUGUUCAGUACAGAUGCGACCAUCCAUUUUUCCCCCAAAUAUUUUAGUCCCGCAGUUGGUUGAAUCCACUGAGGCAGAACCCAAGGAUAUGGAGGGCUGACAACAUUUAACAGCAAAACGGUUCACAAGACUCUUUAAUCGGAAGUUCUUUUGCUUUCUGCUCUUGCCAGGUCAAGGGUCCACGUGUGGUCCUUACUGGGCGCCCCCUAUUCUGCCCCGUGUGGGAAGCAUGUGACUUGAUGCUGUACAUGUAAAACAUGGUUUCUGCUCUUAAGAAGUUUACAGGCCAGCAGGGAAUGGUAAAAUGCGUGAGGAAGAACCCCUAGGCUGGGCGCGGUGGCUCACACCUGUAAUCCCAGUACUUUGGGAGGCCGAGGCCAGUGCAUCACCUGAGGUCAGGAGUUCAAGACCAGCCUGGCCAACAUGCUGAAACCCUGUCUCUACUAAAAAUACAAGAAUUAGCCGGGCGUGGUGGCACGUGCCUAUUACCCCAGCUACUCAGGAGGCUGAGGCUGGAGAAUUGCUUGAACCCAGGAGAAGGAGGUUUCAGUGAGCCGAGAUCGUGCCACUGCACUCAGGCUGGGCAACAAGAGCAAAACUCCGUCUCAAAAAAAAAAAAAAAAAGAAAGAAAGAAAAAAAAAACCCCCGCAACUCCAGGUGGAUUGGCACUGACUACUGAGCACACCAUACAUGUGCAAAGGAAGAAAAAGGGCUGUGAUGAAGUGAGGCAAGCUGGGGCCUCAACUGGCUGCAUCUGGAAUUUCAACAGCAAGACAAGAAUGGACUAGACAGACCAGUGUUCUCACCCACUGUUUCCAUGAUCACUCUCACAACAGAAAAAUAAAAUUGACAAGAAAAAUUACUCAAGAAUAAGGCUGGGUAUGGUGGCUCGCGCCUGUAAUGCUGGCAUUCUGGGAGGCCGAGGCAGGAGGAUCACUUGAGGCCAGGGGUUUCAGACCAGCCCGGGCAACAAAGCAAAUCCCUGUCUCUACAAAAAAAUAAAUUUAAGUUAGCCAAGCGUGGUGGAGUGCAUCUGUAGUCUAAGAUACUUGGGAGGUCAACGCAGGAGGAUCACCUCAGGCCAGGAGUUCAAGACCAGCCUGGGCAACUCCAUCUCUACAAAAAAAAUUUAAAAAUCAGCUGUGCAUGGUAGCAGCACAUAUAGUCUCAGCUACCUGGGAAGCUGAGGCAGAAGGAUCUCUUGAACUCAGGAAUUCAAGACUACAGUAAGCUAUGAUUACACCGCUGCACUCCAAUCUAGAUGACGGAGCAAGACCCUUUCUCUAAAAAUAAAGUAAGACUAAACAAAUCAAAAGAAUAAAAUACACAGGGUUAAGAGUUAAACCCACAGAGUUAAGUAAGCCUUGGAGGACCACAAACCACUGCCGUAUCUAAGAAUGCUUCUCUCUGUGACCCCCAAGAACUUCUGGCUGCCUACCCCCCACCCUUGGGAGUGGUACCAUCUCCACUGAGAAUGCCUGGAUUAGCUAUUAAUCACUGUAGGCAGCCAUUUAAACACGACGCCCCUCAUGCAAUACCUUCUAACGUCGAGCUGGAUGCUGGACUACCAGCAGGCACACAAGUGUAAAGUGGCCCGGAGCCACCAUAGGGCUUCUGAACAGUCAGCAC